rnacentral:rRNA from 1 species
AUUGAACGCUGGCGGCAGGCCUAACACAUGCAAGUCGAGCGGAGCGGCGGACGGGGGCGUAAUGCCUAGGACUCUGCAUGGUAGUGGGGGAUAAAGUCCGGGAACGGGAGCUAAGGCCGCAGACUCUCAGGUCAGCCUAGGUCGUAUUAGCUAGAUGGUGGGGUAAAGGCCUACCAAGGCGACGAUGCGUAGCUGGUCUGAGAGGAUGAUCAGUCACACUGGAACUGAGACACGGUCCAGACUCCUACGGGAGGCAGCAGUGGGGAAUAUUGCACAAUGGGCGCAAGCCUGAUGCAGCAAUGCCGCGUGUAUGAAGAAGGCCUUCGGGUUGUAAAGUACUUUCAGCGGGGAGGCGUUACCCGCAGAAGAAGCACCGGCUAACUCCGUGCCAGCAGCCGCGGUAAUUC